rnacentral:rRNA from 1 species
UGUGUGUUAGUGGAACGGUCUGGAAAGUCCGACGGUACAGGGUGAUAGUCCCGUACACCAAAAUGCACAGGUUGUGAACUCGAAGAGUAGGGCGGGACACGUGGUAUCCUGUCUGAAUAUGGGGGGACCAUCCUCCAAGGCUAAAUACUCCUGACUGACCGAUAGUGAACCAGUACCGUGAGGGAAAGGCGAAAAGAACCCCGGCGAGGGGAGUGAAAAAGAACCUGAAACCGUGUACGUACAAGCAGUGGGAGCACCUUCGGGUGUGACUGCGUACCUUUUGUAUAAUGGGUCAGCGACUUAUAUUCUGUAGCAAGGUUAACCGUAUAGGGGAGCCGCAGGGAAACCGAGUCUUAACUGGGCGUUAAGUUGCAGGGUAUAGACCCGAAACCCGGUGAUCUAGCCAUGGGCAGGUUGAAGGUUGGGUAACACUAACUGGAGGACCGAACCGACUAAUGUUGAAAAAUUAGCGGAUGACUUGUGGCUGGGGGUGAAAGGCCAAUCAAACCGGGAGAUAGCUGGUUCUCCCCGAAAGCUAUUUAGGUAGCGCCUCGUGAA